rnacentral:rRNA from 1 species
CCUACGGGGGGCUGCAGUGGGGAAUAUUGGACAAUGGGGGCAACCCUGAUCCAGCCAUGCCGCGUGUGUGAAGAAGGCCCUCGGGUUGUAAAGCACUUUCAGUGAGGAAGAACGCCUGGUGGUUAAUACCCAUCAGGAAAGACAUCACUCACAGAAGAAGCACCGGCUAACUCCGUGCCAGCAGCCGCGGUAAUACGGAGGGUGCGAGCGUUAAUCGGAAUUACUGGGCGUAACGCGCGCGUAGGUGGCUUGAUAAGCCGGUUGUGAAAGCCCCGGGCUCAACCUGGGAACGGCAUCCGGAACUGUCAAGCUAGAGUGCAGGAGAGGAAGGUAGAAUUCCCGGUGUAGCGGUGAAAUGCGUAGAGAUCGGGAGGAAUACCAGUGGCGAAGGCGGCCUUCUGGACUGACACUGACACUGAGGUGCGAAAGCGUGGGUAGCAAACAGGAUUAGAUACCCUUGUAGUC